rnacentral:rRNA from 1 species
CCUACGGGAGGCUGCAGUGGGGAAUAUUGCACAAUGGGGGAAACCCUGAUGCAGCAACGCCGCGUGAGUGAUGACGGCCUUCGGGUUGUAAAGCUCUUUCUUCAGGGACGAAAAUGACGGUACCUGAGUAAGAAGCCACGGCUAACUACGUGCCAGCAGCCGCGGUAAUACGUAGGUGGCGAGCGUUGUCCGGAUUUACUGGGCGUAAAGGGAGCGUAGGCGGGCUUUCAAGUGAGAAGUGAAAUGCUCGGGCUCAACCUGAGUGCUGCAAUUCAAACUGGACGUCUAGAGUGCAGGAGAGGAGAAUGGAAUGCCUAGUGUAGCGGUGAAAUGCGUAGAGAUUAGGAAGAACACCAGUGGCGAAGGCGAUUCUCUGGACUGUAACUGACGCUGAGGCUCGAAAGCGUGGGGAGCAAACAGGAUUAGAUACCCGGGUAGUC